rnacentral:rRNA from 1 species
CGGAGGAUCCAAGCGUUAUCCGGAUUUAUUGGGUUUAAAGGGUGCGUAGGCGGCUUAUUAAGUCAGGGUGAAGACGGUGGCUCAACCAUCGCAGUGCCUUUGAUACUGAUGAGCUUGAAUAUACUAGAGGUAGGCGGAAUGUGACAAGUAGCGGUGAAAUGCAUAGAUAUGUCACAGAACACCGAUUGCGAAGGCAGCUUACUAUGGUAUUAUUGACGCUGAGGCACGAAAGCGUGGGAUCAAACAGGAUU